rnacentral:rRNA from 1 species
UUUGAAUCUGGCGGUCUUUCGGCCCGUCCGAGUUGUAAUCUAGAGAAGCGUUUUCCGCGCUGGACCGUGUACAAGUCUCCUGGAAAGGGAGCGUCGUAGAGGGUGAGAAUCCCGUCUUUGACACGGACUGCCAGUGCUAUGUGAUGCGCUCUCGACGAGUCGAGUUGUUUGGGAAUGCAGCUCAAAUCGGGUGGUAAAUUCCAUCUAAAGCUAAAUACAGGCGAGAGACCGAUAGCGAACAAGUACCGUGAGGGAAAGAUGAAAAGAACUUUGGAAAGAGAGUUAAACAGUACGUGAAAUUGCUGAAAGGGAAACGCUUGAUGUCAGUCGCGUCGGCCGGGGAUCAACCUUGCUUUUCGCUGGGUGUAUUUCCUGGUCGACGGGUCAGCAUCAGUUUUGGUCGUCAUACAAGGGCGGAGGGAACGUGGCACUCUUCGGGGUGUGUUAUAGCCUUUCGUCGUAUGUGAUGGUUGGGACUGAGGAACUCAGCACAGCUCCGCUCGUGCUUAGGAUGCUGGCAUAAUGGCCUUAAGCGACCCGUCUUGAAACACGGACCAAGGAGUCUAACAUGCCUGCGAGUGUUUGGGUGGUAAACUCGAGCGCGAAAUGAAAGUGAAAGUCGAGACCUCUGUCGUGGAGGGCAUCGACGCCCGGACCUGAGUCUUUGACGACGGAUCUGCGGUAGAGCAUGUAUGUUGGGACCCGAAAGAUGGUGAACUAUGCCUGAAUAGGGUGAAGCCAGAGGAAACUCUGGUGGAGGCUCGUAGCGAUUCUGACGUGCAAAUCGAUCGUCGAAUUUGGGUAUAGGGCGAAAGACUA